CCUACGGGAGGCUGCAGUAGGGAAUUUUCGUCAAUGGGCGCAAGCCUGAACGAGCAAUGCCGCGUGAACGAGGAAGGUCUUCGGAUCGUAAAGUUCUGUUGAAGGGGUAAAAGAGCGGAGAGAGGAAAUGAACUCCGAUUGAUAUUACCCUUCGAGGAAGUCACGGCUAACUACGUGCCAGCAGCCGCGGUAAUACGUAGGUGGCGAGCGUUAUCCGGAUUGAUUGGGCGUAAAGGGUGCGUAGGCGGCCGGCGAAUUCUGGAGUGAAAGGUACCGGCUCAACCGGUACAGGCUCUGGAAACUGGCGGGCUAGAGAGCAGGAGAGGGCGGUGGAACUCCAUGUGUAGCGGUAAAAUGCGUAGAUAUAUGGAAGAACACCAGUGGCGAAGGCGGCCGCCUGGCCUGUUACUGACGCUGAGGCACGAAAGCGUGGGGAGCAAAUAGGAUUAGAUACCCGAGUAGUC
rnacentral:rRNA from 1 species